CCUACGGGUGGCAGCAGUGAGGAAUCUUGGUCAAUGGGCGCGAGCCUGAACCAGCCAAGUAGCGUGAAGGAUGACUGCCCUACGGGUUGUAAACUUCUUUUAUAAAGGAAUAAAGUGAGGCACGUGUGCCUUUUUGUAUGUACUUUAUGAAUAAGGAUCGGCUAACUCCGUGCCAGCAGCCGCGGUAAUACGGAGGAUCCGAGCGUUAUCUGGAUUUAUUGGGUUUAAAGGGAGCGUAGUUGGGUUGUUAAGUGAGUUGUGAAAGUUUUGGGCACAACCGUACUAGUGCAUUUGAUACUGGAAGACUUGAGAUCAGAUGAGGUAGGCGGAACUCAAGGUGUAGCGGUGAAAUGCGUAGAUAUAGUGAAGAACACAGGUUGCGAAGGCAGCUUACCAAACUGUAUCGGACGUUGAGGUUCGAAAGUGUGGGUAGCAAACAGGAUUAGAGACCCUAGUAGUC
rnacentral:rRNA from 1 species